rnacentral:rRNA from 1 species
UACAGAGGUCCCGAGCGUUGUUCGGAUUCACUGGGCGUAAAGGGUGCGCGGGUGGGUUGGCAAGUUUGAUGUGAAAGCCCCGGGCUUAACCCGGGAAUGGCAUUGAAUACUGCUGAUCUGGAGGAUCGGAGGGGGGACUGGAAUUCUUGGUGUAGCAGUGAAAUGCGUAGAUAUCAAGAGGAACACCAGUGGCUAAGGCGAGUCCCUGGACGAUACCUGACACUGAGGCACGAAAGCCGGGGGAGCAAACAGG